UCUUCCCCGAACAAUCCAGCCCGCAAUCAGGAGAUUGCCGGCCGACAAGCCGCAAGCAGCGCGUCCCGAGAGCCCCACUUCCCCUCUCCUUUUAAAUAAACAAACCUCGUAACGCCA